rnacentral:rRNA from 1 species
GAUGAACGCUGGCGGCGUGCUUAACACAUGCAAGUCGAACGCUAUCUUGUAUAGAGUGGCGCACGGGUGAGUAACGCGUGGGAACCUACCUUUCUCUGCGGGACAACGGCUGGAAACGGCCGCUAAUACCGCAUACGCCCUACGGGGGAAAGGUCAGCCGGAGAAAGAGGGGCCCGCGUUAGAUUAGCUAGUUGGUGGGGUAAUGGCCUACCAAGGCGACGAUCUAUAGCUGGUCUGAGAGGAUGAUCAGCCACACCGGGACUGAGACACGGCCCGGACUCCUACGGGAGGCAGCAGUGGGGAAUAUUGCGCAAUGGGCGAAAGCCUGACGCAGCCAUGCCGCGUGUGUGAAGAAGGCCUUCGGGUUGUAAAGCUCUUUUACCAGGGAUGAUAAUGACAGUACCUGGAGAAUAAGCUCCGGCUAACUCCG